CUCUUUGUAAAUGUUUUUUCUAAAACUUCCUUUUCACCGAAAAAAAUGAUGGUCUUUUUAAAGUUUCAAUGUUUAUUGUUAUAAAAGGUAAAUGUUCCUGUGCGCGCAUUGCCAUUCACAUUGCGUCUUUUUGUAGGUACAGUUUUAGAACAAGGUUUCACCAAAAAUGCUUGCGAUAGCAAUAUGGACAAUGUUGCUAGGCGUAUCUCUGGCGUAUGGGGCGUAUGAUUGCGGUGAUGCCCCGGACACCGAUGGUUGCAGCGCGUGGUCUAUUGUUCCUUACAAAAGCAGAUUCAGAUCUUCCUGUGAUAAGCAUGAUGUUUGCUACUCAUGUGGGAGGACAUUCGGCGUAACAAGAAGUCAAUGUGACAAGGAAUUCAAGAGUGACAUGUACGCAGCAUGUAGAGGUGGUUGGUGGUGCAAAAAAGUUGCUUAUCUUUAUUACAAAGCUGUAGACUGGCAUGGUUAUAAAUAUUACGUCCAAACCAAACCUGCCUGGUGUAAGGCGCAAACAUGGUACAGAACUGAAUGCAUGCCAUAAACAAACAUUUCUUAAACAUUUGGUUGAAGGAUUUGCAAGAAA